UAGAUUUAUAGAGUGCUGAUUUGAUUGCAUACUCGGGAAACAGUAUUCAGGCAAACCAGUUUCGCCUGGGAAAACAGAGGUUGAGCAAUUACAUAAGAUUUUUAAGCUUUGCGGCUCGCCAACUGAAGAAUACCGGA